UAGUUGAUUUUGUUGGCCGUAAGGGCCUGA
rnacentral:sRNA from 1 species